AAUAUCCGCGGUCAAAAGGAGAAUAAUCCACAUCGCCAGCUAAGGUCCCUAAACAGUACUUAGUUUUUAAGGAAGUCAGAUUGCGAUGACAACCAGGAUGUUGGCUUAGAAGCAGCCAUCAUUUAAAGAGUGCGUAAUAGCUCACUGGUCGAGGAGUCUGGCGCCGAUAAUGAUCGGGGAUAAGUACUGUACCGAAGCUGCGGGCUGAGCAAUCAGCGGUAGGUGAGCGUUCCAUGGGCGGUGAAGGUACUCGGUAACGGGUGCUGGAGCGUAUGGAAGUGAAUAUGCGGGCUUGAGUAACGAUAAUGCAGGUGAGAAUCCUGCACGCCGUAAGCCUAAGGUUUCCUGG
rnacentral:rRNA from 1 species